rnacentral:piRNA from 1 species
UGCUAUAGACGUUGUACCACC